GGAACCGUGCCCGAAUGCCUAGGGGCCACUUUGAUAGAGUGGAAUAUAGGGGCUAAAAUCCCCUCAGUUCCU
rnacentral:tRNA from 1 species